UACGGGAGGCAGCAGCAAGGAAUUUUCGGCAAUGGGCGCAAGCCUGACCGAGCAACGCCGCGUGGUGGAUGACGGCCUUCGGGUUGUAAACACCUUUUGGGGGGGACGACUGCGACGGUACCCCCCGAAUAAGCCCCGGCUAACUCUGUGCCAGCAGCCGCGGUAAGACAGAGGGGGCAAGCGUUGUCCGGAGUUACUGGGCGUAAAGCGCACGCAGGCGGCACGGCAAGUGGGGUGUGAAAGCGGGCGGCUUAACCGCCCGAGGCCAUCUCAGACUGCCGCGCUCGAGCCGUUCAGAGGUCCCUCGAAUUGCCGGUGUAGUGGUGAAAUGCGUAGAGAUCGGCAGGAAGACCCACGGGGAAGCCAGGGGACUGGGAACGUGCUGACGCUCAGGUGCGAGAGCGUGGGGAGCGAACCGGAUUAGAUACCCGGGUAGUCCACGCCGUAAACGAUGAUGACUCGACCUGUGGCGGGUUCAACCCCGCUGCGGGUCUCAGCUCACGCGGUAAGUCAUCCGCCU
rnacentral:rRNA from 1 species